AACGUAGGACACAAGCGUUAUCCGGAGUUACUGGGCGUAAAGGGCGUGUAGGCGGACGUGUAAGUCUAUUCUGAAAGCUCCUGGCUAAACUGGGAGAGGCGAAUGGAGACUGCAUAUCUAGAGUGAGGAAGAGGAAAGUGGAAUUCCGCGUGUAGUGGUGAAAUGCGCAGAUAUCAGGAGGAACACCUGCGGCGAAGGCGGCCUUCUGGACGAUGACUGACGCUGAGACACGAAAGCGUGGGGAGCAAACAGG
rnacentral:rRNA from 1 species